rnacentral:rRNA from 1 species
GACAGAGGGUGCAAACGUUGUUCGGAAUUACUGGGCGUAAAGCGCGUGUAGGCAGCUGAGCAAGUCGGAUGUGAAAGCCCUGGGCUCAACCUAGGAAGUGCAUUCGAAACUGCUGAGCUUGAGUUCUGGAGAGGAAGGCGGAAUUCUCGGUGUAGAGGUGAAAUUCGUAGAUAUCGGGAGGAACACCGGUGGCGAAGGCGGCAUCCUGGACCGGUAUUGACGCUGAGGCGCGAAAGCCAGGGGAGCAAACGGG